rnacentral:rRNA from 1 species
CAGAGGUGGCAAGCGUUGUUCGGAAUUACUGGGCGUAAAGGGCGCGUAGGCGGCCUUCUAAGUCAGACGUGAAAUCCCCAGGCUUAACUUGGGAACUGCGUCUGAUACUGGAGGGCUCGAGUGCGGGAGAGGGAUGUGGAAUUCCAGGUGUAGCGGUGAAAUGCGUAGAUAUCUGGAGGAACACCGGUGGCGAAGGCGGCAUCCUGGACCGACACUGACGCUGAGGCGCGAAAGCUAGGGGAGCAAACGGGAUUAGAUACCCCGGUAGUCCUAGCCCUAAACGAUGAGUGCUUGGUGUGGCGGGUAUCGAUCCCUGCCGUGCCGAAGCUAACGCAUUAAGCACUCCGCCUGGGGAGUACGGUCGCGAGGCUG